AUUGAACGCUGGCGGCAGGCCUAACACAUGCAAGUCGAGCGGAUGAAGGGAGCUUGCUCCUGGAUUCAGCGGCGGACGGGUGAGUAAUGCCUAGGAAUCUGCCUGGUAGUGGGGGAUAACGUCCGGAAACGGGCGCUAAUACCGCAUACGUCCUGAGGGAGAAAGUGGGGGAUCUUCGGACCUCACGCUAUCAGAUGAGCCUAGGUCGGAUUAGCUAGUUGGUGGGGUAAAGGCCUACCAAGGCGACGAUCCGUAACUGGUCUGAGAGGAUGAUCAGUCACACUGGAACGGAGACACGGUCCAUGCGCCUACGGGAGGCAGCAGUGGGGAAUAUUGGACAAUGGGCGAAAGCCUGAUCCAGCCAUGCCGCGUGUGUGAAGAAGGUCUUCGGAUUGUAAAGCACUUUAAGUUGGGAGGAAGGGCAGUAAGUUAAUACCUUGCUGUUUUGACGUUACCAACAGAAUAAGCACCGGCUAACUUCGUG
rnacentral:rRNA from 1 species